GAAAAAGCAAGUCUUCGAUUGGGGUGCUGGAAGCUUUGAAAAGUUACUGUUAAAUUGAAGCAACUAAAACAUCUAGAGAUUGAUGGAUCUUCCCACCUGAUCCUCACCUUGUUAAUGAAAGCACAGAAUUUGGAAAGUCUAAACAAGGUUAUUGGAAAAAUACAAUACACACAUAUCUAAUUUUGGAAAGUAAACUUUAUAACUCUUUUGUAGUCAGGCAUCGUCAAUGUGUUUAUAGCCUCAGCAGCCUCAACAGCUACAAUAAUUUUAAGUAUUAUUUUUACCCUGCAGAAAAGUCAAUUCAUUUUCAACAAUGUUUCAGUGAAAUUAAGUGGCAGAUUACUUUUUAAUUAAUCAGAGUUUUUUGUUAAUGUUUCUGUUUUAUAAUGUUGAAUACAUUUCU
rnacentral:lncRNA from 1 species